rnacentral:rRNA from 1 species
GAGUAGUAGGAGUUAAGAUCUUUAAACUCAAAAAAUUUGGCGGUAUUUUAUCUUUUUAGAGGAACCUGUUUAUUAAUUGAUAUUCCACAACUUAAAUAUACUUUUACUAAGCUAUUUGUAUACCGCUGUCAUGAAUCUACUUAGAAGUUUAUUUUCAAGAUUUUUUAUGUAAUUUAUGUUAGGUCAAGGUGCAGUAUGUAGACGACUAAAAUGGGUUACAUUAUUUAUUAUGAAUGGAUUAUUUUAAUUAAUAUUUUAAAUAUGAAAUAGGAUUUAUAAGUAAAAAAGUUAUUAGAGAUUUUAUAUGAAUAGAGAUUCUAAAAUAUG